rnacentral:rRNA from 1 species
AGCUCUGUAAGCGUAUACCAAAGUUGUUGCAGUUAAAACGCUCGUAGUCGGGUUUUGGCGUGUGCUUCUGAGACCCCUGAUGGGUGUCGAAGGCUAGCUCCGCCUUUGUGGAGGGGGGUGUGGUGGUGCUUUACUGCAUUGCCGCAUUUCCGCCACUGUUUACUGUGAAAAAAUUAGAGUGUUCAAAGCGAGCGAUUGCCAAUGAAUAAAUUAGCAUGGAAUAAUAGAAUAGGACCUGGUUCUGUUUUAUUGGUUUGUCGGUAUCAGGUAAUGAUUAAGAGGGACGGUCGGGGGCACUUGAAUUCCAGGGUUAGAGGUGAAAUUCUUAGAUCCUUGGAAGUCAAACAGCUGCGAAAGCGUCUGCCAAGGACGUUUUCA